UAAGCCAUGCAUGUCUAUGCACACGCCCUUGAAUGGUGAAGCCGCGAAAAGCUCAUUACAACAGCCAUAGUUUAUUGGAUGUUUACGUUCCUACAAGGACACCUGCGGUAAUUCUGGAGCUAAUACUUGCGAAAUGCGACAACCUCACGGGAGUCGUGCAUUUAUUAGAUUAAACCAAUCGGUCCUUCGGGACCGCCAUUUGGUGAACUCUGAAUAACUUAGCUGAUCGCACAGUCUCGUACUGGCGACAAAUCUUUCAAGUGUCUGCCUUAUCAAUUUUCGAUGGUAGUUUAUACGACUACCAUGGUUGUAACGGGUAACGGAGAAUAAGGGUUCGACUCCGGAGAGGGAGCCUGAGAAACGGCUACCACAUCCAAGGAAGGCAGCAGGCGCGCAAAUUACCCACUCGCAGAACGCGGAGGUAGUGACGAAAAAUAACGAGGUGGCUCUCUAUGAGGUCCAUCAUCGGAAUGGGUACAAUUUAAAUCCUUUAACGAGGAUCUAUUGGAGGGCAAGUCUGGUGCCAGCAGCCGCGGUAAUUCCAGCUCCAAUAGCGUAUACUAAAGUUGUUGCGGUUAAAAAGCUCGUAGUUGGAUCUGCGCUCGGUGAAAGCGGUCGCCCGAUGGGUUGUUACUGCUUCUCCCGGGCUAACCAUUCGGUUUUCUCUUGAUGCUCUUAACUGAGUGUCCUGGGUGACCGGAACGUUUACUUUGAAAAAAUUAGAGUGCUCAAAGCAGGCGAUUUGCCAGAAUAUUCGUGCAUGGAAUAAUAAAAGAGGUCCUUGUAGCCUUUUAUUGGUUAUCGCUACGAGGAAAUGAUCGAAGGGGACAGACGGGGGCAUUUGUAUUGCGACGUUAGAGGUGAAAUUCUUGGAUCGUCGCAAGACAAACUACUGCGAAAGCAUUUGCCAAGAAUG
rnacentral:rRNA from 1 species